rnacentral:rRNA from 1 species
AGGGUUUGAUCCUGGCUCAGAACGUACGCUGGCGGCACGCCUAACACAUGCAAGUCGAACGCAGUAGCAAUACUGAGUGGCGAACGGGUGAGUAUAAUGUAGGUAUCUGCCUUUUGGUUUGGAAUAACACGAGGAAACUUGUGCUAAUACCGGAUAAGCCUUCACAGGGAAAGUUUUAACGCCAAAAGAUGAGCCUGCACUUGAUUAGCUAGUUGGUAAGGUAAUGGCUUACCAAGGCUACGAUCAAUAGCUGUUCUUAGAGGAAGAUCAGCCACAUUGGGACUGAGACACGGCCCAAACUCCUACGGGAGGCAGCAGUGGGGAAUCUUGCACAAUGGGGGAAACCCUGAUGCAGCGAUGCCGCGUGAGUGAAGAAGGCCCUUGGGUUGUAAAGCUCUUUCGUCGGGGAAGAUAAUGACUGUACCCGAAUAAGAAGGUCCGGCUAACUUCGUGCCAGCAGCCGCGGUAAUACGAAGGGACCUAGCGUAGUUCGGAAUUACUGGGCUUAAAGAGCACGUAGGUGGUUAAGAAAGUUGGUGGUGAAAUCCCAAGGCUUAACCUUGGAACUGCCACCAAAACUUUUUAACUAGAGUAUGAUUGAGGCAAGCGGAAUUUCUAGUGUAGAGGUGAAAUUCGUAGAUAUUAGAAAGAACACCAAUUGCGAAGGCAGCUUUCUGGAUCAUUACUGACACUGAGGUGCGAAAGC